GACGGAAGGUGCAAGCGUUGCUCGGAAUCACUGGGCGUAAAGGGUGCGUAGGCGGCCGUGCAAGUCUGGCGUGAAAGCCCCGGGCUCAGCCCGGGAAGUGCGCUCGAAACUGCGCGGCUCGAGUGCCGGAGGGGAGAGUGGAAUUCCUGGUGUAGCGGUGAAAUGCGUAGAGAUUAGGAAGAACACCAGUGGCGAAGGCGACUUACUGGACUGUAACUGACGCUGAGGCAUGAAAGCGUGGGGAGCAAACAGG
rnacentral:rRNA from 1 species